UGAUAUUUGUAAAGACAGGAUUGUGGUAAAAAAAAAAGCAAACCAAGAGAGCCACAAACACAAGCAGGCAGAAAAAACAGACAACUUGUAAACAGUCCAAGACUUUAUUCAGAGCUGAAACCGAGUAACUCGUGAUCACUGCAAAGGAUUGCGGUGCAAUAACUAUGGCAAGUACAGUAGGUCAAAGCUAAACCUGAAUCUAUUCCGUUAACAGCGAUUGAUGUAUAGUAUGGACAUUUAGUUAUUUUACAGUUCGACUUCAAUCUCUUGUUCUUCUCUUCCAAACCCAUUUCACUUGACCUGAUGGUCCGACUGGGAUUCUCGUAACGUCUGACCUAUUUUUAGAAAUGCAGUUGCAUUCCAGUAUCUAAGCAGUCACUUCAGUGCCUUAUUAUAACAGAGUGAACUGACAACAUGAAAAUUAAGCCCCAGAUGUAAUGAAAAACGUGUUAUUUUACAUGUCGUACACACAUUUCAUUUUGCAAAUUACACAUUUUCUCUCCAAACCGGAUAUUAGAAAAUAAACAUGUUAUUCAAGAGGUUCUGGCAUGUUGCAGUGACAGCUCAAUGGCACCUCGUUGGCAUCACUAUCAGCCUCUGGCCCCUUACCUCCCUCCUCUGGAUGCCAGUCUCGCUAUGUAGCAAUAAAAACUAUAUAAGACAUCCUUAUAUAUCAAAUCCUUUCUUUAAGUAAGGAGAACCAGUAUAACCUGGCAUCUCUAUUUAGCCUCAAGGCACCUUUGUCUCUGCGUCUGCUGUAUGUCAUUACGAGGCUGAACACAUUCUUCAGGGGUGUCAUUAAGACGGUUGUUCAAACGACAAGAGUGCUAACUUUGAGGGAAGUAACCUGUGAUAUAAUUGGUUUGAGGCAGCAGUUGUGACUUAUUAUGAAGUCAAACGACUGCCUCAAGUUUGUUUCCAAGUGCAAUUGUCAUUUGGGAAUCUCGCCCAAGAUCAGAAGCCACAAGAUAAGACACUAAAUCGAUGCAAGAAAUGAUGAGUAAAAUGUAUACACGUUUAUUAAUCUUGAGACUCAAAGCUUCCAGCUAGUUAAACAACCUUGAAUGCAUUAGAGUCUAACCUGGCGUAUAAAAGGUGAAAAUGGCCAAUGAAAGCAAUUAGUGUUCACGCUUCCUCACAGCCGCAGUCUGAGCAAGGUCGCAGGCUUUUAAAAUAUGAUCGUAUAUGAUCAAACAGAGCACCCAAGGAAAUUAUAUUUCAGCUGGAAAAUAAAAAAAGCUGCGACUGAAGAGGGGAUUUAAGGUGAAGCUAAAGAGAAAAUCCAAUUUGCACUUUGCGCCGCUAAGUUCCACAUUAAGAUGAGCGGUGAACAGUCAUGGGUCUCACAUACAUUUCUCAGCACAAAUUAAUUGUAAUAUGACUUCAUAAAUUAAUUUCACAUCCUCCUAACAAUAAUCAUUAUUGGUUAUUACUCCUAUUAAAGUAUAUUGUGGUAGAAAUCUUUCUGUACACUCGAACCAUUGGAAUGCCUCAGUUACACCGCGAUCUAUAUUUACAGUAGCAGCUUUAAGGUUUACCUUUACUUCUGCAAUGUGUACUGUAUGUAUUUAUGUGCAUAUGCUAAAUAUAGUAGUGACAUUUUAGAUAUAAAAAUGAUCAUUUUAGCCACUGGAGAGAGCUCCCUAGGAUAUGUGAGCAAAGAGCCUUUAUUCAGCACCACUUUUCUCUCUCAGCCACUGAGAGACCUGCAUGGCAUAUGUGAAACAAAUCAUUUUACUUUUCUCUGUACGGAAACCUGUCAGCGGCACAGCGACGGUAUGCAGGCAGGUAGAAGGUAGAAGCAAUUGGAUUCUUCCUCACCAGCGGCUCCAGGAGCUAUCAGCCCCUAUCCAGGCCUAUGAAGGCAGAGGAGGAUUGAGUUUGAAAGAUGAUAAUAGACUCCUGAGGAAACUAAUCUAUUUCUAAAGAAGAAAGGGGUAUAAAUUCUCUCACUUGCCCCCCACGUCCACCUGCUCACCGUUUGCCUUUCAUCGUUUCUCUCCGCAUAGCAUCACAGGUCAGUUUUACAAUUGAAGUAUACCAAUUAAAAGGAUCCUGGACAGCAAGGCAGCUAUUAUUGAAGAGAAGCAGAUAUUUCAAGUUCCUUUUUUGUAUUUGUUAUUAGUAAGAUGUAGAAUAUGUAAGUUAUUGAAGGUUUCAACAGUGAUUUGAGCACUUUUAU
ensembl:lncRNA